AGAGGCGCAGCUAUGGCGUUGAAGCUGGCUGACAUAAAACCAAUUUCUCUCCCAUCUCCUGAUAUGGAAAUAUUUCUGCAGACUGCUGAUCCAAGAUGUAUUGUGUGGAGAAUCUUGUCGCCAUACCAGUUAUUCAUAUUCACAAUUCCAAGGCCCCUGUCCACAAUCACAAAAAGGAUUCUGGAGAUGACAGUUUAUAUGUUACUCUUGUCAUGCUGUUGAUGGAGCACAGGAUAUAAGCACUUUUUCUGUAAGAAAUACUAGAACAAGACACAACCCAGAUGUGAGGGCAUUGUUCACACUUCUCUGCUUUGAAACAAUGUUUUCUAUAUGUCUUUGGUGUUCAGGUCUUUUUGCGGGAAAUAAACAAGGUAAAUCAUGUACAAUCUGCAUACAUGUAUUGCAAGAGAACAUUGACUUGCGUCUGGAAGAACGAAGUUAUACUUCGUCCGUCUGAAUAACCAAUAGUACGGCUACCAGCUUCUAAACUGUUUUACUCAUUCCUUUUAUCUUUUAUGAAUUUUCCAAAUGUUGACAUGCCAAGAAAUCCUAUCCAAUUUUCGAUUAAGAAGGAAACCCCUGUAUGCCAGCAUAUACCUGGAGUUUAGUAGCAUAUGCAUUAUGUUCCAUUCAGUGGUUUUGUGCAAAGGGUUAAAGGGCUGACUUGGUUCUCCAUGUAAUUUUUAUCAGUUAUCUGCUGUACAGCUAAUUCAUUUCAUUUAAUGGCCAUUACGACCAGCUUGAAAUUCAGGGGAGCAAUGAUUUUGGUCAUUUUUCGGAAAAAUAUUUCUAUUGUUCAUGUUUCUUAGGUUUAACGCUUCAUCUCAUUUUGUUUAUUACGACACUUGUCAAAAAUAAAACAAAAAUUUCAAUCAUAGUUUAUUAUUAAGUAUUGACAUGAUUUUCUUAACCAUAGAAAGUAUAAUUAUUAAUUAACUAAGCUAAGCAUUACAUCUUUGAUAUUGUUUAUGAACAAUCUCCUUGAUAACAAUAUUUAACUAUCUAAACCACACUCUUGAAUUAUGUUUAAAGAUUGAAAACAAAUCAAAUGUACUAUAACUAUAUUUCUUAGUUCUCCAACAGCUAAAUAUUUUCCUCACGCAGGCCAAAUCCUAAUAGCCUCUUAUAGAUCAAUACCGUAAUCAAGUCGUUUAAUUUAACAACUUGAUUACGGUAUUGUUCUAUAAAGGAUUUGGCCAGCGUGAGGAUGUAUUUUGACCCAAAUAGAAUCAUGAACCCCAGUCAAACUUAUCGACUACCGGCUCAAAAUGUUGUGACUCAUGUAUAUUUAAUAAAAUGAUACCGGGGAGUCGUUUAUCUGUGGAUGUCGAAAAUCUGCUUAAAGGGGCUGUACUCCGUAUGAUAAAAUAGCGGGGGAAAAAGAAAAUUGUCGA